rnacentral:lncRNA from 1 species
AGUGUUUGUACCAGCUCUUCUUUGUAUGUCUGUUAGAAUUUGGCUGUGAAUUCACCGGAUCUGGGCCUUUUAUGAAAAAUCUUCAUGGAGUGGCAAAAGUUGUUUACCUGAAGCUCACAAGAUGUAUCCAGAAAAUAUCACCAGGGAUCAGAUCAAGCCUGACCCCCAUUUUACAUCUUCUGUAACCAGAAGCACUCCAAGAACAACACUUUCAUUCAUGGACUUAACAACUACAUUAGAUCAUACCAGCCUGUCACUUCAAAGUCACCAGUGUCAAGGAACAUUUCAAAUUGGCUUAAAGCAUUGUUUUGGAGGUGUGAAUAAUGAAGCCAAGGACAUUAGCAACAUCAUGAAAGCAGGCAUCAAGUGAAUAGAGAAGAUUCUAUGGAUGUAGAAGAGGUCCCUGGGUUUCCGAAUUGCCACUGGAUUGCCUCUAUCAAAUACACAAGAGUUUCAUGAGUGAGAAAUAACCUUCUGUUGCUUUAAAUCUUGGGUUGUGCAAUACAUCAGUGAGCCUACCAUGACUAAUACAUUCUAUGGAUGCAGAUUUCUCUUCUCUGGCCAUUGACAUGAGUGUGCUUUCUGGAUGCAGUCACAGGGGACCCAAGAUUCUUGGACAGAAUUCUCGCCGGGAGCCAACUCAGCCUGAUCUGCUGGCAUCUCUCAAGUAUCAGAAGUCAACAAAAUGGUUUGCCUUGAAGACUUGGCCAGAGCAGCAGCCAAAGUUCAUAAGGCUUUCGUAGAGAGAUUGUUUGUCUAAGAAAACAAAAUUCUAAGGGCUCCCAUUGUGCAGCUGGGGUGGCAAAAUGCAAACUAAUAUAAGGAAAAAAAAUGCUUUUCAUUUCCAUGGAAGAAAUGACCCAUCCUAUUGUUGAUAUUUCCUUUUCUGUGCUAACUUAUUCCAUUAAUUAGGCUCUCGUUUUAUGAGAUAAUUUCACUGCAUGCGUAUCUUCUUUUGGUUAUUACACAAGGACUGUUUUCUAUGGUUCAUAUCUAAGUCCAACCCUGGAAAAAUCUUUUUUUUUGAGACAGCCUUUUUUGUUUUGUUUUGAGACAAUACUCCCUCUGUUGCCCAGGCUGGAAUGCAGUGGUGAGAUCAUAGCUCACUGCAACUUCUGCCUCCUAGGCUCAAAAAAUCCUCCCACCUCAGCCUCCCAAGUAGCUGGGAUUGCAGGCAUAUGCCAUCACACCCGGCUAAUUUUUGGAUUUUUAGUAAAGUUUUGCCAUGUUGGCCAGGCUGAUCUUGAACUCCUGCCCUCAAGUGAUCUGCCCACCUUGACCUCCCAAAGUGCUGGGAUUACAGGUGUGAGCUACUGUGCUCAGCUCAGCCAUGGAACAAUCUUGAUGUAUAAUUUAUCUGCAGGUAUCUCCAUCUCUAUUUGCCACUCUUAGUAAAUGUUUUAGUUUGACAGUAAACGAGUUGAGACAUUAAUGAUUGAGAGAGCACCUAAGCAGCUCGAAGUGCUGGGAGUCUCUCCUAAAGAAUUAGAUGCACACAGCAUUUUUCCCUUACAGACACUUCACUGAGCAGUCAUGUUGGACUUGGGUGGCGUCUGCUAUUAGACACACUAUUCACCAAUAAAACCCUGAAAAUUGCAUUGCACAGGACUGAUAAAAAUAAGAUGACUUAAGAAACGUAUUUAUGGUAUAUAUACACAGAAAAAGAAUGAAAGUUUGAGGGGGUAUUGCCUCUGGGAGGAAGAGUUAUGAGUAGUUUGUAUUUCCUUUUUUGUUAAUCUGUAUUUCAUUUUUUAGGCAAUGCAAAUAUAUUAUUUAGACAACAAAAUACUUAUUAGAAAGAAAAGACAUGGUGGGUUUUUUCCCCUUUAUUCUUUGCUUUUCUAAGAGGAAACUUUGACUGCAAUUGCUUGUGAGUGAUACCUGUGUUCUGGUAGCUUAGGAAGACACAAUGUGGUUAGGGAAGGAUAAGAACAGAUGGCUUUAAUAAAUGUACUCAAGGCUAAUGUACCCUUCAUAGUCUCAGGCUUCAGAUCAGAUCUCUUAUCUAUGCUGGCACCAGGAUGUGGUUUUGAGUUCUCUGCUUUUUCUACAGCUUUAGGGAAAUCUGCAUGCAGGCACAUCUAAUUGUCCAAACCAAAAAUCACAUCCAGGAUGUGAGGCAGCCUGGGAGAGGUCAUUUUGAGUUCUGUAGUCUCCGAAGUAUAAAAACACAUAAACAUGUAUACAUACACACAUUAACACCCACACACUUUUGAAGGAAGAUGGAAUGGAAGACAAGCACCACAGUGAAACUUUAGAAGAAUUUCCCUUACAUUCAGGAAAAAAAGAUAGAGGGUCCAUUUUCAUCACUCUUAUUGCCAUUGUCUAGAAGAUAAGCCGUAAUAAGAUAAAAUAAAAAGUGUAUAGAACACUUGGAAAAAAAUAUAAAAGAUUGGUCCCAUUCUCCGAUGGCAUGAUAUUCAAAUGAAGAACCAACUAUAAACAGGUUGUUAUGAGCUGAAUGUUAAUGUGACCCCAAAAUUCAUAUGCUGAAAUCUUAACCCCAAAGGUGAUAGUGUUAGAUGGUGAGGCUUUUAGGAGUUGACACAGUGUAAUGCCUCUUCUAUGAAGAAGUGGGCCUUUGUCAGUUACCAAAUCUGCAGAGGCCUUGAUCUUGAACUUCCCAGCCUCCAGAGCUUGGAGGAAUGAAUGUUUAUUGUUUGUAAACCACCCAGUUUAUGGUAUUUUAUUAGAGCUGCUCAAAGGGUCUAAGACACAAGUAUAAGUCAUAAGUAAAUGCAUCAAAUUUGCUGAAUAUAAAUCAACAUAUAAAAAAUCAACAGCAUGCUUGGAUCCCUGGUAUGAAUCACAUCUGGUCAUGGCAAAUAAUCUAAAAAAAAAUAAUAAAAUAAUCAAUUUAAAAAAUUUAAAAAGCAACAGUAUUUACUAUUCAUUGCCAAUGACCAAUUAGAAAAUGGCAUAAACAUGACAUCUGUGAUAAGACAAAUACUCUAAGGUAACUAGAACUACAAGUAAUAAAAGAUGUGUACAGUUUACAGAGACGAUUGUAGAAAGCCAAAAAAAAUUAAAAGUGAAAACCUAAAUGGGAAGAAGCAUCAUGUAUAUUGGGUCAUAGUAGAUAUCAUAAUAUAAAUUAUAAAAUACAGAACAAAAUGAUAUAAAAUACUAAAUUUCAAAAUGUGUUGGAUAUAGCUAAAGCAGCACUAAAGAGGAAUUUAUAGGUUUAAAUACACGUAUUGGGGGAGGAAAGAGAUAAAGUUUGAUAUGGCGGUAAGCAUCCACUUAGGGAAAAGUACAAAAAGAAAAUAAUAGUAGAAAGUAAUAAAAUAGAAAAUAUAAAAGAGGUUUUUUAAAAAAUACUUACAAAAUGGACAGUCUUUAUGGGGAUUGAACAAGAACAAAGAAAGAAGGCACUGAUAACCAAUGUCAAGGAUAUGGAAGUGGAUAUGUGGAUAUAACUAAAAUGCUGCAGUUAUUCGAGAUAAGAGUAUUAUAAGUAACUGUAAGAUAACACAUUUAAAAACUUGGUCGAAAUGGUCAAAUUUGUAGAAAAGUAUAUCUCAACAAAACUGAUUCAAGAAAAAUAACCCAUUAAAAAAUAAAUCAGCAGUUACCUUUUAUUUAUUUAUUUUUGACAAGAAAAUAUCAAAUGGUUUUACUGGCAAGAUCUGCCAAAUAUUCAAGAAACAAGUAAUUUCAAUUUUGGACAGAAUUUUCCAGAGAAGAGAAAAUGGGAAGAGGGUUGUUCCUCAUUUUAUGAAGCUAGUAUACACAUCAGUGCCAACAUUUGACAAGGGAAGUUUGAAAAAGGAAAAUCACCGACUAAUCUCUCCCAUGAGCAGAGACUUAAAAAAUUCUAAACAAAAUAUUUGCCAACCAAAUCCGAAUAUAGAAAGGAUUGUACACCAUGAUCAAGUUGAGCUCAUCCUAGGAAUGUUUCCUUUAUGGUAACAUUCGGGAAAGCAAAAUACAUGGGUGCACAUGCAAGAGGUAGGAGAUUGAGACUGGGAGUCUGUAGAACUUCUGAUUUCAUCCAUUUUUUGCAAGUGAAUUAGAUUUUCUUUAAAAAGGUUAUUGGGUGAAGGCGCAGAUAGAGGAGCAGGUCUUGGAGAUUUAAGGGGAAAGGAAGUAUGAUACAGUCUUCUAGAAGACUGGAAGAGUAAAUGGAAUAUAGCGUGAUUGCAUUGGGGCUCCUCUGAGCUUUAUGGGCAUGAAUUUAAAGAUUAUUUGAGGCCCUGGUUUGUGCAGUAAGAAAAAUUUUGUUUAGGGAUUAGGAAGGAAGAAAUAAAACUAAAAAUCUCCCAUUAUUCACAGAUGACAUGAUGAUUCUUAUAGAAAACCCAAAAGAUAUUACUACAUCAAUAUAGAAAACUCAAUUACAUUUCUUUAUUUUUCUUUUUCUUUUCUUUUUUUUUUUUUUUUGCUUUAAGUUCUAGGAUACAUGUGCAGAACGUGCGGGUUUGUUACAUAGGUAUACAUGUGCCACGGUGGUUUCCUGCACCUAUCAACCCGUCAUCUAGGUUUUAAGCCCAGAAUGCAUUAGGUAUUUGUCCUAAAACUCUCCCUCCCCUUCCCCUACUCCCCCCAACAGGCCCUGGUAUGUGAUGUUACCCUCCCUGUGUCCCUGUGUUCUCAAUGUUCAACUCCUACUUAUGAGUGAGAACAUGCGGUGUUUGGUUUUCUGUUUCUGUGUUAGUUUGCUGAGGAUGAUGGUUUCCAGCUUCAGCCAUGUCGCUGCAAAGGACAUUAACUCAUUCGUUUUUCUGGCUGCAUAGUAUUCCAUGGUG